UAAUACGGAGGAUCCAAGCGUUAUCCGGAUUUAUUGGGUUUAAAGGGUGCGUAGGCGGCUUAUUAAGUCAGGGGUGAAAGGCGGUAGCUUAACUAUCGGAGUGCCCUUGAUACUGAUGAGCUUGAAUGCAGCUGAGGUAGGCGGAAUGUGACAAGUAGCGGUGAAAUGCAUAGAUAUGUCACAGAACACCGAUUGCGAAGGCAGCUUACUAAAGUGCGAUUGACGCUGAGGCACGAAAGCGUGGGGAUCAAACAGGAUUAGAUACCCUGGUAGUCCACGCCCUAAACGAUGAAUACUCGAUGUUGGCGAUAUACGGUCAGCGUCUAAGCGAAAGCGUUAAGUAUUCCACCUGGGGAGUACGCCCGCAAGGGUG
rnacentral:rRNA from 1 species